rnacentral:misc_RNA from 1 species
GUUAUUCGGAACUUAUAAUUUCUAUGCCCCGAAAUGACGUACCGAAGGAGUGUUACCAGUAAUUUUUAUUUCCAAUAGCCCAAAAUGCGGGUAAGUAAAUUGUAGGCAAUCAUAGAAAAAUAAUUAAGUAGAAAGUGGAUAUCAUUAUUGUGUUUUUUUUUAUCGUGUGAUUUUAUAUUUUACCUAAAUUGAAGUCAAUAUGAAUUUUUAACUCGUUUUUGUCUGUUUAAAUUUGUGAAUUAACUACUCAUAUUUUACUACUAAAUAUCAUGAUUUUAGGUUUCCAACGAAUAUUUUAAUAGGAGAUAGAAUAGGUAGCUGCUGUGCGACUGAGCUGAAAUGAACUACAACGACAGCCAUCCUCAUCUUGUGUGGACCUACCGGAUGAGUCUUAAAUUAGUCGUUAAUCAAGAUUCAAUCUUUGAUACACCUAGAAAACAUAAACAAAGAAAAGUUAAAAAAACAGGAACUUUAUUUAAAAAAAAUGUAAAAAAAUUAAAUCAUUACAGCAAAGAGUUAGACGUCUUUAAAACAGGAACUUGCCCUUCAGAGGAAUCAUCAAUUACUUAAAAACGCAAUUUUCAUUGACACAGAUUUAUAUAAUUCAUUAAAUCAAAACAUUGCAGCAAUAGAUUUAUUUAACAAUUUGAAGCAAAAAAGGAGUAAAUAUAUUUAAAACUAUAAA